rnacentral:snRNA from 1 species
GGAUGUGAGAGCAAUGUUGCUAAUCUGCCAUUCUAUCCAACUCCAGGGUGAAUUCAGCUGAUCUGAUGCCUAGGUAGAUGUCCCCUGCCUCCCUCACCACUUCAUGUUCAUCUCUUCCACAACUGUGGGCUCCCUUCCCAAGAGGAUGACCUUCCCAAAUAGAGAACAUUCUAGAGGUCAAGCUGCCAUUCCCUGCUAGAACUCCCAAACAUGCUCAAGAAAGUAACAUGAUUAAACACCACAGUGUUACCCAUCAGGUUCUGGUUUGCUGGAUCUGGCAGCAGCUGUCA